rnacentral:rRNA from 1 species
AAUGAACGUUGGCGGCAUGGAUUAGGCAUGCAAGUCGAGCGCGAAACGUAGCAAUACGUGGAGAGCGGCGAAAGGGCGAGGAAUAUGUGGGAACCUACCUUCGGGCCUGGAAUAGCGGCGGGAAACUGCCGGUAAUGCCAGAUAACGUCCCCGGACCAAAGGUGUGAUUCCGCCUGGAGAUGAGGCCACAUCCUAUCAGGCUGUUGGUGUGGUAACGGCGCACCAAGGCUAAGACGGGUAUGGGGUGUGAGAGCAUGCCCCCACUCACUGGGACUGAGACACUGACCAGACUACGACGGGUGGCUGCAGUCGAGAUUCUGCGGUAAGGGGCGGAAGCAUGACCGAGCGAUGCGGCGGGCAGGAUGAAGGCCCGCGGGUUGUAAACCGCUGUCGGAGGGGAAUAACGGUCGGUGGGUUCUCCCAUCGAUUUGAAUGAUCCUAGGAGAAAGGACGGGCUAAGUUCGUG